CAGGUCCAGGUCCACAUCAAGGUAGCUCCAGGUCCAGGUCCACAUCAAGGUAGCUACAGGUCCAGAUCCACAUCAAGGUAGCUCCAGGUCCAGGUCCACAUCAAGGUAGAUACAGGUCCAGGUCCACAUCAAGGUAGCUACAGGUCCAGGUCCACAUCAAGGUAACUACAGGUCCAGGUCCACAUCAAGGUAGCUACAGGUCCAGGUCCACAUCAAGGUAGCUACAGGUCCAGGUCCACAUCAAGGUAACUACAGGUCCAGGUCCACAUCAAGGUAGCUACAGGUCCAGGUCCACAUCAAGGUAGCUACAGGUCCAGGUCCACAUCAAGGUAACUACAGGUCCAGGUCCACAUCAAGGUAGCUACAGGUCCAGGUCCACAUCAAGGUAGCUACAGGUCCAGGUCCACAUCAAGGUAGCUACAGGUCCAGGUCCACAUCAAGGCAGCUACAGGUCCAGGUCCACAUCAAGGUAGCUACAGGUCCAGGUCCACAUCAAGGUAGCUACAGGUCCAGGUCCACAUCAAGGUAGCUACAGGUCCAGGUCCACAUCAAGGUAGCUACAGGUCCAGGUCCACAUCAAGGCAGCUACAGGUCCAGGUCCACAUCAAGGUAGCUACAGGUCCAGGUCCACAUCAAGGUAGCUACAGGUCCAGGUCCACAUCAAGGUAGCUACAGGUCCAGGUCCACAUCAAGGCAGCUACAGGUCCAGGUCCACAUCAAGGCAGCUACAGGUCCAGGUCCACAUCAAGGUAGCUACAGGUCCAGGUCCACAUCAAGGCAGCUACAGGUCCAGGUCCACAUCAAGGUAGCUACAGGUCCAGGUCCACAUCAAGGCAGCUACAGGUCCAGGUCCACAUCAAGGUAACUACAGGUCCAGGUCCACAUCAAGGCAGCUACAGGUCCAGGUCCACAUCAAGGCAGCUACAGGUCCAGGUCCACAUCAAGAUAGCUACAGGUCCAGGUCCACAUCAAGGCAGCUACAGGUCCAGGUCCACAUCAAGGUAGAUACAGGUCCAGGUCCACAUCAAGGUAGCUACAGGUCCAGGUCCACAUCAAGGUAACUACAGGUCCAGGUCCACAUCAAGGUAGCUACAGGUCCAGGUCCACAUCAAGAUAGCUACAGGUCCAGGUCCACAUCAAGAUAGCUACAGGUCCAGGUCCACAUCAAGGUAGAUACAGGUCCAGGUCCACAUCAAGGUAGCUACAGGUCCAGGUCCACAUCAAGGUAGAUACAGGUCCAGGUCCACAUCAAGGCAGCUACAGGUCCAGGUCCACAUCAAGGUAGCUACAGGUCC